GGGGAUGUGGCUCAGUGGCAGAGCUUGUGCCUUGCAUGCAUAAGGCCCUAGGUUAAAUCCCCAACACUACCA
rnacentral:tRNA from 1 species